rnacentral:snRNA from 1 species
CACGUGAUCACCGUCAGAGGA